GAUGAACGCUAGCUACAGGCUUAACACAUGCAAGUCGAGGGGCAGCAUGAAGGAAGCUUGCUUCCUUUGAUGGCGACCGGCGCACGGGUGAGUAACACGUAUCCAACCUGCCCCUGGGUAGGGAAUAGCCCGGUGAAAACCGGAUUAAUGCCCUAUGGUCUCCUUCGAGGACAUCUGAAGAGGAGUAAAGAUUUAUCGCUAAGGGAUGGGGAUGCGUCUGAUUAGGUUGUUGGCGGGGUAACGGCCCACCAAGCCUACGAUCAGUAGGGGUUCUGAGAGGAAGGUCCCCCACAUUGGUACUGAGACACGGACCAAACUCC
rnacentral:rRNA from 1 species